CGAACGCUGGCGGCGUGCCUAACACAUGCAAGUCGAGCGAGAUCCAUCCAGUGGCAACACUGGUGAAGAUCUAGCGGCGAACGGGUGAGUAACACGUGAGAAACCUGCCCCGAAGACCGGGAUAACUCGAGGAAACUCGAGCUAAUACCGGAUAUCCUCACCAGAUCGCAUGUUCAGGUGAGGAAAUGCUCCGACGCUUCGGGAGGGUCUCGCGGCCUAUCAGCUCGUUGGUGAGGUAACGGCUCACCAAGGCUAAGACGGGUAGCUGGUCUGAGAGGACGAUCAGCCACACUGGGACUGAGACACGGCCCAGACUCCUACGGGAGGCAGCAGUGGGGAAUCUUGCGCAAUGGGCGAAAGCCUGACGCAGCAACGCCGCGUGGGGGAUGAAGGCUCUCGGGUUGUAAACCCCUUUCAGGAGGGACGAAAAUGACGGUACCUCCAGAAGAAGCCCCGGCCAACUACGU
rnacentral:rRNA from 1 species